rnacentral:rRNA from 1 species
UACGAAGGGGGCUAGCGUUGCUCGGAAUCACUGGGCGUAAAGGGUGCGUAGGCGGGUCUUUAAGUCAGGGGUGAAAUCCUGGAGCUCAACUCCAGAACUGCCUUUGAUACUGAGGAUCUUGAGUACGGGAGAGGUGAGUGGAACUGCGAGUGUAGAGGUGAAAUUCGUAGAUAUUCGCAAGAACACCAGUGGCGAAGGCAGCUCUCUGGGACGGUACUGACACUGAGACGCGAAAGCGUGGGGAGCGAACAGG